ACAGCCAUAUAGUGUUGUAACAUUGGUUCCCAUACAAUUACUGAAGUUAAGCAAUGUCAAGCCUAGUCAGUACCUAGAUGUGUGACUACUUGGGAAUACCAGGUGCUGUAAG